UUUUUUUUUUGCUACAUCAUUCUUUUGUUUCUUGCCACGUCUGUUUUUCUUUUUUGUGGAUCGAAGACUCGAAACGAAGAGGGCAGAGGGUGUCAAGCAGGUUACCCAUUUUCAUUUUCUUUAUGUUCUGGGUUUGUUUAUGUAUUUGGAGUGAAGUGAAGCUCUAAACUGCGAUAAAUUUUGUGUGCAGGCGUCAGGGGCAACGACCUCUCUUCCAUUUGGUUGUUGGACAUACUGUUUUACAAUACCAAGUUCUUUGAAAACAAGUGUUGAUUCAUGGCUCCAAAGGUGAGGAUUGCACUCUGAAAUUUGUAGGGUGCCUUCAUAGUAUUUGUUGUAUUUGUGUGCUGCCUUCUAUGUUUAAUUGGAAUAGAAUUAUACUUUUCCAUUUGUAUGUCUGGCGAGUGGCUUUACAAAUAAUUGUGCUCAUGAUAAUUUUGUCCUGCUUGUUUGUACUUGUGUAACUGAUUUGUAUACCAGGUCUUUGGGUGUUAACACAUAGGUUGCCCUGUGAAUGAGUUUCCCAAUUAAUUUUGGGAAGUUUUGACAUCAAGCUUUGAACUCUUUUUUUUUUAUAUUCACAUGGCAGAGAAGCAAGUGAAACUUUUUGACACAAUGAAAGUUUUGUCCCAUCUUCAUGUGGCAAAGAAGGUUGCUUGUCCAUUUAAAGAUUGGGAAAUUUUCCCUUUCUUUCCUUGUCUUAUAGCAUUUCAAUGUCUUUUUUGGUCAAAGCUUUGACACAAUGUUUGAUCAAAACUUUGACACAAUUGUAGCAUUUCAAGGCUUUGAACCUUCUUCACGUCUCCUUCCUUCUUUGUCUUUAUCAAAGUUGUGUUGGGGACUUUUCUUUUGUCAUCAUCAAAAUUUCUGAUUUCUUUUCCUUUGUUUAUUUGUCAACACAUGCACUUACUCUCUUUAGCUUUUCCAAACAUGAUAACCACCUUCUUUAGCUUUUACAGAAAACUUUUCUUCAUUUAGUCAUUCUCUUAGAGCAUAUUUUUCUACUUUUCUUCUUGCAUUGGGGAAUUUCCAAGCAUGAGUCGGUCAAGUGGUAUUUUUGGCUUCUUUUCCUUUGCUCAUAUGUACUUAUAUGGUCAUUUGUCUACAUGUGCAUUUUUCUUUGUUCCCUUGUCUCUUUUAUCCAAAUAUGACUUCCACCUGCAUGUCCCCAUAUGUUAAAGAAAAACAACUUUUCUUCUUCCUCCUCUUCACGUGUAUGUCUCCAUGUCUUGUACCCGUGAGUAGCACCAAACAGAACAAUUUCUUACCCCUUGAGUUGUAUCUCGGUAUAUGUUGCUUCCUUGCUGUUUUUCUUUACAGAAACUGAGCUUGGGAUUUUGAAGUUGCACUUGCCAGUCCGGUGAGGGGGUAUAGACCAUUUAGACUCGGUUAAAACUUCACAGGGUGGUCUAGGCCACCCCGAAGAAAUUCAUGGGAUUCUUGGAGAUUAUUUCUGCUGCUGUUAGUGGGGAGUUAUGUCGUUCAAAGUCUCCACCUCCAUCCGAGCAAAGAGACAAAAGCCAAAAGAUGGCUAAAAGAAAGAUUAGAGAAAACAUGAUUUGUCCUUCUCCUUUUUUUUUUUUUGCGUUGUAGACCAUUGCCGAGCAAAGGGGAAUGUCGUGGACCAUUGCCUGGUGGUCUUCUACUGCCAUGUAUUUUUUUUUUUUGUUGCUUCUUCUUUUGUGUCCUUCUCUGUCUUUUGCAUAUAUAUAUAUAUACACACACACACACAUAUUACCCUGCUUUUGUCUGCAACAUAACAUCAAACAAGAGAAGAAUAAUUUUAACAGGGCUUUGUUUCAUACCUGGUGGUGAAUGUUCUUCUUUAGAUCUUGGCUUGAAAGCACGAAUGGUUGAACUCGUUCUCUUUUUUUGGCAGCACUUCGUUGCUUUUGGUAUUUUCUCUCAAAGUUUCUCUAUUUUCUGCAGAGUUUCCCCUCUCUUUUUUUUUUGUCUGUCUCCUCUCUUGCUGUGGCUGAUGCCUAUUUAUAGGCAUCCCAAGAAAGCUCUAGAAUUUUUUUUACAUGGGGGGAGAUGGAGGCCAUGACCUCCUAUCACUUUCCCUUAACUUCUCCCACUAACUAUGCAGUUUUUUUUCAUGCUUUGCAG
rnacentral:lncRNA from 1 species